AGCGCGCUCCAGCUUGUCCUUCCCGUUCUCCAGGUAUCUGCGGAGCCACUCCACGCACUCGCCCUCCAGGUAGGCUCUCCGCUGCUCCGCCUCACGGGCCGCCUCCCACUUGCGCUGGGUGAUCUGAGCCGCCGUGUCCGCGGCGGUCCAGGAGCGCAGGUCCUCGUUCAGGGCGAUGUAAUCCUUGCCGUCGUAGGCGUACUGGUCAUGCCCGCGGAGGAGGCGCCCGUCCGGCCCCACGUCGCAGCCGUACAUGCUCUGGAGGGUGUGAGACCGGCCUCGCUCUGGUUGUAGUAGCCGCGCAGGUUCCGCAGGCUCUCUCGGUCAGUCUGUGCCUGGGCCUUGUAGAUCUGUGUGUUCCGGUCCCAAUACUCCGGCCCCUCCUGCUCUAUCCACGGCGCCCGCGGCUCCUCUCUCGGACUCGCGGCGUCGCUGUCGAACCUCACGAACUGGGUGUCGUCCACGUAGCCCACUGAGAUGAAGCGGGGCUCCCCGCGGCCGGGCCGGGACACGGAGGUGUAGAAAUACCUCAUGGAGUGGGAGC
rnacentral:lncRNA from 1 species